rnacentral:rRNA from 1 species
GACGAACGCUGGCGGCGUGCUUAACACAUGCAAGUCGAACGAAGUGGCGCACGGGUGAGUAACUCGUAAUCAACCUGCCCUUCAGAGGGGGACAACAGUUGGCAACGACUGCUAAUCCCGCAUACUGACGGAGGGGAUUGCGGCUGAUUAGCUAGUUGGAGGGGUAACGGCCCCCCAAGGCGAUGAUCAGUAGCCGGGCUGAGAGGAGGACCAGCCACACUGGAAUGGGGACACGGUCCAGACUCCGACGGGAGGCAGCAGUGGGGAAUAGUGCACAAUGGGCGCAAGCCUGAUGCAGCCAUGCCGCGUGUAUGAAGAAGGCCUUCGGGUUGUAAAGUACUUUCAGCGGGGAGCGGUACCCGCAGAAGAAGCACCGGCUAACUCCGUGCCAGCAGCCGCGGUAAUUC